rnacentral:rRNA from 1 species
CGUAGGGUGCGAGCGUUAAUCGGAAUUACUGGGCGUAAAGCGUGCGCAGGCGGUUUAGUAAGACAGGCGUGAAAUCCCCGGGCUCAACCUGGGAACUGCGCUUGUGACUGCUAAGCUAGAGUACGGCAGAGGGGGGUGGAAUUCCACGUGUAGCAGUGAAAUGCGUAGAGAUGUGGAGGAACACCAAUGGCGAAGGCAGCCCCCUGGGUCGAUACUGACGCUCAUGCACGAAAGCGUGGGUAGCAAACAGGAUUAGAUACCCUGGUAGUCCACGCCCUAAACGAUGCGAACUGGACGUUGGGAGCAACUAGGCUCUCAGUGUCGAAGCUAACGCGUUAAGUUCGCCGCCUGGGGAGUACGGUCGCAAGACUG